CUACGGAGGGUGCGAGCGUUAAUCGGAAUUACUGGGCGUAAAGCGUACGUAGGCGGUUGGUUAAGUUAGAUGUGAAAGCCCCGGGCUUAACCUGGGAACUGCAUUUAAAACUGGCGAACUAGAGUUGAGUAGAGGGGAGUGGAAUUUCAGGUGUAGCGGUGAAAUGCGUAGAGAUCUGAAGGAACACCAGUGGCGAGGGCGACUCCCUGGACUCGAACUGACGCUGAGGUACGAAAGCGUGGGUAGCAAACGGGAUUAGAAACCCUAGUAGUCC
rnacentral:rRNA from 1 species